CAGGCGAAGGUUAGAGAGCCAUAUCAACAGGUGAAGGUUAGAGUGCCUAAUCAUCAGGUGAAGAUUAGAGUGCCAUAUCAUCAGGUGGACGAGAACUGGACUUGUGUCCUCCUGUGAGCACAGCAGCACCUACCCAGAAGGCUCCGGAGUCGGGGGAUGUGCUCCUCUGCUGCAGGCCUUGACCAGAGAGGGAGAGUCCAACCUGGGAUCAGACUUCCAUCCUGUCCCAUCACAGACAGUCUUCCUCAUGGCUGCUUCAUCUGCCUUACCCUACAACAUGUUCUCUGGAGGACAAGAGAUUCAGAAGGGGAGGGAAGAACUCCAGCUUGACUUCUGUCUGUGCACCUGUUGGGAGGUUUUUGUUCAAUUUCUGAUCAACAAUAAACCACAGCAGAUGCCAUGA